rnacentral:lncRNA from 1 species
GUUGAAUUGUAAUUCCCAAUGUUGGAAGAGGGAACUGAUGGGAGGUGAUUGGAUCACGGGGGCAGAUUUCCCCUACGCUCUUCUUGUGAUAGUGAGUGAGUUCUCACCAGAGCUGAUGGUUUAAAAGUGUAUGGCACUUCCCCCCUUGCUCUCCCUCUCUCUCUCUCUCCUGCUGCCUUCUGAAGAAGGAGCUUGCUGCUUCUUUUCCUUCUGCCAUGAUUGUCAGUUUCCUGAGAUCUCCAGUCAUGCUUUCUGUUAAGCUCGUGAAACUGGGAGGAGCCAAGAUGGCCGAAUAGGAACAGCUCCGGUCUACAGCUCCCAGCGUGAGCGACUCAGAAGAUGGGUGAUUUCUGCAUUUCCAUCUGAGGUACCGGGUUCAUCUCACUAGGGAAUGCCAGACAGUGGGCGCAGCUACAAGCAAGAAGAUCCUGGAUCAUGCCAGAGGUUUAAAAGAAGAAGUGAAGUUCAACAAGUUCAUGUCAUAUUUUAACAUGUUCCAGAAUUUCUCACAGGUCUACCAAACUCAAAUGCAACAUUUCCAAAUCACCGUUAAUGGUCUUCGCCUCAAAUCUGUGAAUGGUAUCCUAUGAAGUUGUGCAAUAUGAUAUCUUCAGAUCCCCCAUCUCUGAAUGUUCCCACCUGUGUGUGCAGCAAAGAGCCAAAGUUUAAUCUUUGACAUUUUCUUUCUUUCUCCCACAUUCCAUUAGUUAUUGUUCUGUCCCUGUAUCGUAUGUUUUCGUUGCCCUCUAUACCUACCUUACAUAAAACUUAAUAGAGCAUAUAACUAAUUAUGUAUUUUCUUGAUGAUCUAAUCAACAAUAAACUUUCUCAGUAGUCUAAAUUCUUCAUGAAAUCAUAGACUAUAUUUUACUCACUAUUAUAGCCCUAGUAUAUAGCAAUAUUGUUAUAUGUGAGGUGCUUAAUAUAUAAUUUUCC